rnacentral:rRNA from 1 species
AACGAACGCUGGCGGCAGGCUUAACACAUGCAAGUCGAGCGCCCCGCAAGGGGAGCGGCAGACGGGUGAGUAACGCGUGGGAAUCUACCCAUCUCUACGGAAUAACUCAGGGAAACUUGUGCUAAUACCGUAUACGCCCUUCGGGGGAAAGAUUUAUCGGAGAUGGAUGAGCCCGCGUUGGAUUAGCUAGUUGGUGAGGCAAAGGCUCACCAAGGCGACGAUCCAUAGCUGGUCUGAGAGGAUGAUCAGCCACACUGGGACUGAGACACGGCCCAGACUCCUACGGGAGGCAGCAGUGGGGAAUAUUGGACAAUGGGCGCAAGCCUGAUCCAGCCAUGCCGCGUGAGUGAUGAAGGCCCUAGGGUUGUAAAGCUCUUUCACCGAUGAAGAUAAUGACGGUAGUCGGAGAAGAAGCCCCGGCUAACUUCGUGCCAGCCGCCGCCGUAACAC